rnacentral:snRNA from 1 species
UCACUCUGGUUUCCCUUCAUCAUCACGUUUAAAUCUUUCGCCUUUUACUAAAGAUUUCCGUGGAGGGGAACAUAUGAUGAGUUUAUAAUAAAAUUUUUGAGAAUCCCCUACCAUUGGUUGGGGAU